CUCGGGUUGCAAUCAACGAAACGAUGAAGGCUCAAACUGUUAUUUUUCUUGUCAUUCUCCUUUUUAUUGCAGAUUGUGUCAACGAAACUGAGAGCAUUGCCGUCAAUUUUCCAUCUUCGAAUAAUGGUCGGAGAAGGGCAUCUACGGAUAAUGACCGGAGAAGCGUUUGUCAAAUGGCAAGAGAUUUUGGAUGCGGAAAGCAGGACGAAAGCGUCCAACAAGACCUGAGCAUGAAGCAAAAUACUUACGAUGGGAGUGACAAAGCUUUGUGAUGAUCAUUGAUAAAGACAAGUGGAUUGAAAACCUCGCAUAUGAAAUAAAAUUAGAUGUUACAUUGAA